rnacentral:rRNA from 1 species
UACGAAGGGGGCUAGCGUUGUUCGGAAUUACUGGGCGUAAAGCGCACGUAGGCGGACUUGUCAGUCAGGGGUGAAAUCCCGAGGCUUAACCUCGGAACUGCCUUUGAUACUGCAAGUCUUGAGGAUGAGAGAGGUAAGUGGAACUGCGAGUGUAGAGGUGAAAUUCGUAGAUAUUCGCAAGAACACCAGUGGCGAAGGCGGCUUACUGGCUCAUUCUGACGCUGAGGUGCGAAAGCGUGGGGAGCAAACAGG